UUUGGGAUUUAUAUUAGUCAUAAACUUAACUUAAUCAAAGCCUAUAUAGUAACUAGACUUAAGGCGUUGUCGUGCUUGUAAACUUUGGAAUUUGGACAAUAUAAUUGGGAAGAAAAUUAGAAUACAUCUGUAUAUACGUCAAAGAGUUAUAGUCGAGCUUUUAAGACCUCGAGCUUGCUAGAGUCACGAGCUUUGAUCAAGU
rnacentral:lncRNA from 1 species